rnacentral:rRNA from 1 species
CCCUUAGAUGUUCUGGGCUGCACGCGCGCUACACUGAAGCGUUCAACGAGUAUUCACCUUGCCCGGGAGGGUUGGGUAAUCUUUUGAAAACGCUUCGUGAUGGGGAUAGAUUAUUGCAAUUAUUAAUCUUCAACGAGGAAUUCCUAGUAAGCGCGAGUCAUCAGCUCGUGCUGAUUACGUCCCUGCCCUUUGUACACACCGCCCGUCGCUCCUAACGAUUGAGUGAUCCGGUGAAUAAUUCGGACUGCAGCACUGCUUGGUCUCCAGGCUUUGCAGCGGAAAGUUUAGUGAACCUUAUCACUUAGAGGAAGGAGAAGUCGUAACA